UACGUAGGGUGCAAGCGUUGUCCGGAAUUAUUGGGCGUAAAGAGCUUGUAGGCGGUUUGUCGCGUCUGCUGUGAAAUUUCGGGGCUCAACCCCGAACUUGCAGUGGGUACGGGCAGACUAGAGUGUGGUAGGGGAGACUGGAAUUCCUGGUGUAGCGGUGAAAUGCGUAGAUAUCGGGAGGAACACCAGUGGCGAAGGCGACUACCUGGCCUGUUCUUGACGCUGAGGCGCGAAAGCUAGGGGAGCAAACGGG
rnacentral:rRNA from 1 species